GUCCUAGCCGUAAACGAUGGGCACUGGGCAGGGGGGAUUCCUAUGUCUUCUCUGCCGUAGCUAAUGUGUUAAGUGCCCCGCCUGGGGAGUACGCUCGCAAGGGUAAAACUCAAAGAAAUUGACGGGGGCUCACACAAGCGGUGGAGCAUGUGGUUUAAUUCGAAGCAACGCGAAGAACCUUACCUAGCCUUGACAUGCAGGAAUUAGCCCUAUGAAAGUAGGGUGACAGCUCUUCGGAGUCGGAAUCUGCACAGGUGUUGCAUGGCUGUCGU
rnacentral:rRNA from 1 species